rnacentral:rRNA from 1 species
CCUACGGGGGACAGCAGUCGAGAAUCAUUCACAAUGGGGGAAACCCUGAUGGGGCGACGCCGCGUGGGGGAAUGAAGGUCUGCGGAUGGUAAACCCCUGUCAUGGGGGAGCAAAUUAAAAAGAUAGUACCACAAGAGGAAGAGACGGCUAACGCUGUGCCAGCAGCCGCGGUAAGACAGAGGUCUCAAGCGUUGUUCGGAAUGACUGGGCGUAAAGCGUGCGUAGGCUUUUGCGUAAGUCGUGGGUGAAAGGCGCGGGCUCAACCCGCGGACGGCACAUGCGACUGCGAGACUAGAGUACUGUAGGGGGAACCGGACUUCUCGGUGUAGCCGU